rnacentral:tRNA from 1 species
GCCAGUGUGGUAUAGUGGCUUGAGUGUUGGACUAUGACUCUGGAGAUCAGGGUUCAAAUCCCUGCUCAGCA